GCACAAGCGGUGGAGUAUGUGGUUUAAUUCGAUGCAACGCGAAGAACCUUACCUGGCCUUGACAUCCCGGGAAUUCCUGGAAACAGGAGAGUGCUUUCAUUAGAGAGAACCUGGAGACAGGUGCUGCAUGGCUGUCGUCAGCUCGUGUCGUGAGAUGUUGGGUUAAGUCCCGCAACGAGCGCAACCCUUGCCUUUAGUUGCCAGCAGUUCGGCUGGGCACUCUAAAGGGACUGCCGGUGUCAAACCGGAGGAAGGUGGGGAUGACGUCAAGUCCUCAUGGCCUUUAUGGCCAGGGCUACACACGUACUACAAUGGCCGGUACAAAGGGCAGCAACAUUGCGAGAUGGAGCGAAUCCCGAAAAGCCGGUCUCAGUCCGGAUUGGAGUCUGCAACUCGACUCCAUGAAGUUGGAAUCGCUAGUAAUCGUGGAUCAGCAUGCCACGGUGAAUACGUUCCCGGGCCUU
rnacentral:rRNA from 1 species